AUUGAACGCUGGCGGCAUGCCUUACACAUGCAAGUCGAACGGCAGCACGGGAGCAAUCCUGGUGGCGAGUGGCGAACGGGUGAGUAAUGUAUCGGAACGUGCCCAGUCGUGGGGGAUAACGUAGCGAAAGCUACGCUAAUACCGCAUACGAUCUAUGGAUGAAAGCGGGGGAUCGCUAGGCCUCGCGCGAUUGGAGCGGCCGAUAUCAGAUGAGGUAGUUGGUGGGGUAAAGGCCCACCAAGCCUGCGAUCUGUAGCUGGUCUGAGAGGACGACCAGCCACACUGGAACUGAGACACGGUCCAGACUCCUACGGGAGGCAGCAGUGGGGAAUUUUGGACAAUGGGCGCAAGCCUGAUCCAGCAAUGCCGCGUGCAGGAUGAAGGCCUUCGGGUUGUAAACUGCUUUUGUACGGAACGAAACGGCUUUUUCUAGUACAGAGAGCUAAUGACGGUACCGUAAGAAUAAGCACCGGCUAACUACGUGCCAGCAGCCGCGGUAA
rnacentral:rRNA from 1 species